rnacentral:rRNA from 1 species
UACGUAGGGUGCAAGCGUUAAUCGGAAUUACUGGGCGUAAAGCGCACGUAGGCGGAUCGUUAAGUCGGGGUGAAAUCCUGGAGCUCAACUCCAGAACUGCCUUCGAUACUGGCGAUCUUGAGUCCGGAAGAGGUGAGUGGAACUCCUAGUGUAGAGGUGGAAUUCGUAGAUAUUAGGAAGAACACCAGUGGCGAAGGCGGCUCACUGGUCCGGUACUGACGCUGAGGUGCGAAAGCGUGGGGAGCAAACAGGAUUAGAUACCCUAGUAGU